GUGGUCUUUCUCUUGAUUCCUUUUAGAAAUGGAAGAUGAUUAUCUGAACAUAUGCAUCAAAUCUGACAUUGUUAUACUCAACAUUCUAAGCUGACUCAUUAAACAGACUCUACUAAAGAAGAUAUCCACACAACCCAGCUGAGUACACAGAGGAAGUUACCACACAAGACGGGCUCUGCAGCCCAUUGGAUGGUCCUACUAAAAUGCUUGACCAUACAGGGAAUACCACGGAGUCAGAUCAGAGAGCUACUUGAAAACUCUAAACCAGCCACUCAGAUACCAGGAAAGCUUAUACUUCAGGGAGUUUCAACAUGUCUUCACUUGAACCAUUCACUUUAGGAUAAAACUUUCCAAGCACCCGUGAACUAAUGAUACCAUGUAGAGCGUCAAAGACAAAGUAAACAACUCACACUGAGAACUCAGUGGAGCAUCAGGAAACAGCUGUCAGAGUGAUGCGAUGAGUCCACCCAUUCAGCUAGGAACCACCAGGAAGUGUUCCUUCCCAUGAUGUGGUCUCCAACCUGAGUGAAUGCAGGUCAAAAAGGUCCAGACUCCAUAGAUGGAUGGGAGAUUCUAAAAGGACAUUUUAAAACUGAGAUGUAGGGCAUGCCAUGGGAGAAUAGGAUGAAAAACAAAUAGCUUUCUUGAAUAGUCAUUUUAAGGGCCUUCUGAUUGGCUUUCCUGUGUCUGGUGGUAUUGUGUCAGUCACAUCAAU
rnacentral:lncRNA from 1 species